rnacentral:rRNA from 1 species
AGAGUUUGAUCCUGGCUCAGGAUGAACGCUAGCUACAGGCUUAACACAUGCAAGUCGAGGGGCAGCAUUUCGCUAGCAAUAGUGAAGAUGGCGACCGGCGCACGGGUGAGUAACACGUAUCCAACCUGCCGAUAACUCGGGGAUAGCCUUUCGAAAGAAAGAUUAAUAUCCGAUGGUAUAUUAAAACCGCAUGGUUUUACUAUUAAAGAAUUUCGGUUAUCGAUGGGGAUGCGUUCCAUUAGUUUGUUGGCGGGGUAACCGG